GACGUAGGGCGCGAGCGUGUCCGGAUUUAUUGGGCGUAAAGAGCUCGUAGGCGGUCUGUUACGUCGGCUGUGAAAACCUGGGGCUCAACCCCGGGCCUGCAGCCGAUACGGGCAGACUAGAGUUCGGCAGGGGAGACUGGAAUUCCUGAUGUAGCGGUGAAAUGCGCAGAUAUCAGGAGGAACACCGGUGGCGAAGGCGGGUCUCUGGGCCGAAACUGACGCUGAGGAGCGAAAGCGUGGGGAGCAAACAGG
rnacentral:rRNA from 1 species